rnacentral:rRNA from 1 species
CGGGAAGCCCUUCGGGGCAGGGAGACAGGUGGUGCAUGGUUGUCGUCAGCUCGUGUCGUGAGAUGUUAGGUUAAGUCCUGCAACGAGCGCAACCCUUAUCAUUAGUUGCUACCAUUAAGUUGAGCACUCUAGUGAGACUGCCCGGGUUAACCGGGAGGAAGGUGGGGAUGACGUCAAAUCAUCAUGCCCCUUAUGUCCAGGGCUACACACGUGCUACAAUGGUGAGUACAAUUAGAUGCGAACCCGCGAGGGGGAGCCAAACUAAAAAACUCAUCCCAGUUCGGAUUGUAGACUGAAACUCGCCUACAUGAAGCUGGAGUUGCUAGUAAUCGCGAAUCAGAAUGUCGCGGUGAAUACGUUCCCGGGCCUUGUACACACCGCCCGUCACACCAUGAGAGCUGGCAACACCCGAAGUCCGUGAGGUAACCGUAAGGAGCCAGCGGCCGAAGGUGGGGUCAGUGAUUGGGGUGAAGUCGUAACAAGGUAGCCGUAGGAGAACC